rnacentral:rRNA from 1 species
UACGAAGGGAGCUAGCGUUGUUCGGAAUCACUGGGCGUAAAGCGCACGUAGGCGGAUGUGUCAGUCAGGGGUGAAAUCCCGGAGCUCAACUUCGGAACUGCCUUUGAUACAGCACGUCUUGAGUCCGAUAGAGGUGGGUGGAAUUCCUAGUGUAGAGGUGAAAUUCGUAGAUAUUAGGAAGAACACCGGUGGCGAAGGCGGCCCACUGGAUCGGUACUGACGCUGAGGUGCGAAAGCGUGGGGGAGCAAACAGG